UGCGCGCGGCGUCCCCCGGCGCGGGGCGGGCCGGGCCCCCAGGGCGGGGGUGGGAGGCCUCGGCCUCCCCCUCGUGCAGCGCGGGGCUGGCAGGGGGUUUCGUUGUGGUUUUUUCACCGGAAUUGGCUCCGGUCGGCUCAGCCCAGCCAGGCCGUCCGCCCUGCUGCUCGUUCCCGGGAAUGAGGCGGGUGAAGUGGCAGCCUGGGGCUCAGAUCCAGCCGGGAAUCCAAGAGCGGGGAGGCCGGAGCCACCGGGGCCUGCUCUGCCCCCCCCCCCCCCCAAACGCUGACGGGGUCUGUGGGUGCCAGGAGCUGCUAACCAGCAUUCUGCACUCGGGGGUUGAAGUGCUGUGCCCAGGUCCGGAGCCUCCAGCGUAAGAGAGACGUGGAGCUCCUGAAGGAGCCUCGGAGGAGGGUCACGAAGGUGACCAAGGGCUGGAGCAUCGCUCCUGUGGAGACAGGCUGGAAGUUGGGGUGUUCGGCCUGGAGAAGAGAAGGCUCCGGGGAGGCCUUAUAGAGGCCUUGCAGUGCCUGAAGGAAGAGCUGCAGGAAAGCUGGGGAGGGGCUUUUUAUAAGGAGAUGUAGUGAGAGGAUGAGGGGUAGUGGUUUAAAACUUGAAGAGGGGAGAUUUAGGUUAGACAUUAGGAGGAAACUCUUCAGUGUGAGGGGGUGAGACACUGCCCAGGGAAGCUGUGGCUGCCCCAUCCCUGGCAGUGUUGAAGGGCAGGUUGGAUGGGGCUUGGAGCAGCCUGGGCUGGUGGGAGGUGUCCCUGCCCAUGGCAGGGGGUUUCAAGAUGAGCUUGAACAUCCCUUCCAACCCAAACCAUUCUGUGAUUCUAUGAUUCUAUGGAUGAAAGUUUCCAUACAUGACAGAGUAAUAGUUUUCUUGCACUGUAGGGCUCUCGACCCAUAACUCUCCUCCUCUGAACCUUCUGGAAGGCAGGAUAUCAUGCAGCUGUUGCCUUAACACGUUUUUCAUAUUACGCGUUUGGUUGUUUUUUUUUCCUAUUCAUAUCUAUUUCUGUGUUUUACAUCAUGACUUCUAACUUUAGAGCAAUGUAAACCACAUCUAUCUCGUGUUUUCCCAGAUCUUGGAGGAGGAGAAAAAGGGCUCCUCUUGUCUAGUAAGUCAUUAAUUAAACGGACAAGGCAGUGAUAUGACAGCCAGCAUUAAAUCUGCAAACAGUUAUUUAUUCCCCUGAAGUCCUGCAGCCAUUUAUGUGCUCUGCUAAUGUUUAUGUGCAGUAAUUGGUGGCAAACUCUGCUCUACUUCAAAAGCUGCACAGCUUCAUCCAACCCAUCCACUCUUCUGAAGCUUCAUGUGUUUAUCUGGAUCAACAUACGACCGCGAGAAUUUUGCUGGAAUUAUUACCUAGCCAAGUGUUGGAGGGAAGAAGGGGGAAAAGACUGAUUGGCUUCACAGGACUAAUGAACAACUGGAAAAAAAUAAGUUAAGAGACAGAAACUUGACGGAGAGCAGCCGUGCUUCCCCCGUUGUUCGUGGAGAAGCUGAUGGUGGCGUGCCGGCUGCCGAGGGCCUUAGGGACUCGGACUCUUUCCUAAAUUGGGCAUUUUGACUCUUCCGUGGACAUCCGGCUUUAUCUCAGAAAGAUGAUAUUAACAGCAUGGAAAUUGUCUUAGCUGUGUUGUAAUAAUAUUUUGAGGACCCGGGAAGCUGCUGUGUAGCAGGAUCCGUUGUGAGUCCAAGGAAGUGCCUGCUGUUCACCAGGACAUUUCAUGCGUCGUUGCCUCCAGAAAUGAAAGGUAACGGUGGUGAUUAUGCAGGGAUCUCCCUCUUCCUUUCCCUGAUAAAAUACCAGGGCCACUUUGAAGGAGUUCCAAGGACAGCCAGGCACACUGAACGACAGCAGGUACCAGCAUUUCUUUUUGAAGAGCUGGCUUCAGAGUCUGUUUAAAUAGAUGAGAAACUGGAGCAGAUUAUGAUUCGUUUCAUCCAGCUCCCUCGUCUGCAAAGCCUUCCAAGAUUCAAUCCCUUCUAUUCAGUCAACACGAAGUUGUCACGCGAGUACUGUGGGGCUGAGGCAUCUUUCCUGAGUGUGAUUUGACAUCUUCCCUGUGUCAGCCCUCAAACAGCACCAGUUUCCAAGAGGCUUUCAUGACACCAGCCCCUAAAACACAAGCUGUGUGGCCGUGAGAGGGAAAACCUUGCCAAGAACUUCAGGGGGUCAUUUUCACAGUGGAGGUGGAGGUCUUGAAACCCCAACAGGACCUACUGUGAGCCUUGUCCUUGGUGACACGUGCAGGGGAUUUCAGAGCAGGCAGGGGGACAUCAGCUGUAGUGCCAGUUUUCAUUUGUCCUGCUAAGUCGUUUUAAACAGCCCUGAGAUUUGCUAGGAUGCUCUGCUGGUGACUGUGGGGUCGUGGUUUCCUUCAGAGAGUGAAGACAUGCUGAGCUAGCUCAUCUGGGGCUCUGCACACAUCUGCUAUAGCUCCAUUUCACCACGCCAUCCAUGGUCUUUGUGCAGAUAAUAACUGCAGCAGUGUGAUAGAGCAGCAGUCGGAGGACUGGAGACAAAGAAGAAGCAUCUGUCUGCCUGUAGAAGGGAGCAUCAGGAACAGUGUGUCAUGGUCCCUGUUUUAGCUGGAGUCCUCCCCAGAGAGUCAGAAAAUGGUCUUGCCUCAAGAAACAGUUUUCUCUCGCUAUCUUCCUUGCUACCACACUGGACUGGCCUGAACUAAUGAAGAUCUCCUCCUGUGAGCUCCAUGAGGCACCUGCACUACUCCUUCUGUACUCAUUACACUGAGCAGAACACAGACCAGAAAAAAAGCAUUCUUUGCUGGCUAUAAAUCGUGAGUGACACUGAGGUAUUGCUAUUAGCAGCAGAAAAAAUGCUUUCCUCCCACAAUCUCACUCAGCCCCAUAUACAUACAAAACUUCAGCAAAGGGUGCUGGGGUGUCUGGAUAGAAAAUGAAAUAGAGAUUGUGUUGUCUGUAGAUAAACUGCUACCUCCCUUGG